rnacentral:rRNA from 1 species
GAUGAACGCUGGCGGCGUGCCUAAUACAUGCAAGUCGAGCGAACAGAUAAGGAGCUUGCUCCUUUGACGUUAGCGGCGGACGGGUGAGUAACACGUGGGUAACCUACCUAUAAGACUGGAAUAACUCCGGGAAACCGGGGCUAAUGCCGGAUAACAUUUAGAACCGCAUGGUUCUAAAGUGAAAGAUGGUUUUGCUAUCACUUAUAGAUGGACCCGCGCCGUAUUAGCUAGUUGGUAAGGUAACGGCUUACCAAGGCAACGAUACGUAGCCGACCUGAGAAGGUGAUCGGCCACACUGGAACUGAGACACGGUCCAGACUCCUACGGGAGGCAGCAGUAGGGAAUCUUCCGCAAUGGGCGAAAGCCUGACGGAGCAACGCCGCGUGAGUGAUGAAGGUCUUCGGAUCGUAAAACUCUGUUAUUAGGGAAGAACAAAUGUGUAAGUAACUGUGCACGUCUUGACGGUACCUAAUCAGAAAGCCACGGCUAACUACGUG